UUAGGAAAAAGGUAAGUACUCCAGGCAUGAGAAAUGACACUAGCACAGGAAAAAAGGUAGAAGGGCUGUACGAGGUUUGGCUGCAGCGAAAGCUUGUNUAGGGAAAAAGCUCAGGUUAGUCUGGAAAGGCAAGUGGGCGGUGUUCUGUAGCUAAUAGGUCGUUCUGUUCCAAACUUUUUUAUGAAGCGAAGGGAUGAGUCAUUUUGGAAAGAUUAACCUGACAGAGGUGUGAAGGACGGAGGGAUUGGAGGAGGUUUAGAAUGCAGACAGGGUGAUCACAAGAGGGUGCUGAACUCCAGAUAAGAGAUAUGAUAAGGGUGUUAAUGAAAGCUGUGCUUUUUAGCACAAAGGCUAAAAAAGGAGGCUAGGUAUAGAAAAAACGACAUGAUGACAAUGUAUUAGAGGAAAAGAAUGUUUGGGGACAAUUUUCAAGUCUCCCUGACAUCACUAUAUAGGUUGCCAAGGCUGCGCACCAAGAUAUAGAAUAAGGAAGGCACCAGUGAGCUGGAAAAGAGUCAAGUUUUUGGAUUUGUCUAUCUAGUUUAUCUUAGAAUGGCUGAGACACUAACCAGAAAUUAACCAUAAGUGAAUGAUUGUGGAGCUCAGCAACAGAGAUGUGAAUUGAAGCCACUCAAGACGAGUUCACCCAAGAAGACUGUGUACUAUAAAAACAGGGGGACAGGCAGAAGGCUGAAGAACACCAAUAUUUAAAUGGUGGACAAAGUUAGAAGAACCUGAAGGGAAGACGGAGGAAGGCAAGAGAUGAGCUAAAAAAGAAGUCAAAUGGGUAAAGUAAAACGGAAAAAACAAGUGAUAUGAGGAAGGGGCCAUUCAGUUUGGUGUUUGGUGAAUUGAUGACAUUGGUAAGAGCAAUUUCAUUGAAAUAAUGGGGCUGAGAGCCAGAUGGCAGUGGACUGAACAAUGAAUGGGAAGCUAGCAUUAACAGGAUUUGUUGACUAUUCUUUUGGGGAGCCUGCCUGAAAAGGAAAGAGGAGAGGUAAUAAACAGAAACAGGGAGAAUUUAGGAUACUUUAG
rnacentral:lncRNA from 1 species